AUACGAGGGGUGCAAGCGUUAUUCGGAAUCAUUGGGCGUAAAGGGUGUGUAGGCGGCGUACUAAGUCAACUGUUAAAUCCCCCAGCCUAACUGGGGACCAGCGGUAGAUACUGGUAUGCUAGAGGAUGGAAGAGAGAAGCGGAAUUCUUGGAGUAGCGGUAAAAUGCGUAGAUCUCAAGAGGAACACCGAUGGCGAAGGCAGUUUCUUGGUCCAUUUCUGACGCUAAGGCACGAAAGCGUGGGGAGCAAACGGGAUUAGAAACCCCAGUAGUCC
rnacentral:rRNA from 1 species